rnacentral:rRNA from 1 species
AAAAGAACUUUGAAGAGAGAGUUCAAGAGUACGUGAAACCGUUCAGGGGUAAACCUGAGAAACCCAAAAGAUCGAAUGGGGAGAUUCAUCGUCAGCGGCUCUGGCUUCCGUGCGGCUCGCGAUGGCCGGGACCUCGGUCUCGCGUCACGCGUCCGCUGCGGUCUAUGUCCGGGGCCGUCGGCGUGCACUUCUCCCCUAGUAGGACGUCGCGACCCGUUGGGUGUCGGCCUACGGCCCGGUUGGUCGACUGUCGCGUCGCGUUCACCCGCGCACGCGGCAGACCACCGGUCGCCCGGCCGACUGCCCGGCGGUAUAGAUCGCUUAUAAUUACGGUAUUGGGCCGCAUCAAGUGCGUUCUGGCUCGCCGGCAGGCUCGUCUCGCUCGGAUUUACGGACCUAGCGCCGUUGCCGGGCGCUUGGCGUGGCCGUUAGUCGACGAUGUCCUCGGACUGGCUCUUACAUUCGAACGAAUAUACCGGUCGGCGACGCUACUGCUU